rnacentral:sRNA from 1 species
GUUACGGGGACGACCUGCGGGAGCACGCGGGCAGUGGCCGGACGCUGAAGCCCAGGAGAGCGAUGGAGACGCAUGCGGAGGCUGGGAAGGAAGGCAAGCCUUCCUGUGCAUCGGUGGAUCUGCAGGGAGACAGCUCCUUACAGGUGGAGAUUUCUGACGCAGUGAGUGAGCGGGACAAGGUGAAAUUCACUGUUCAAACCAAGAGCUGCCUCCCUCACUUCGCCCAGACCGAGUUCUCAGUCGUGCGGCAGCACGAGGAGUUCAUCUGGCUGCAUGAUGCCUACGUGGAGAACGAGGAGUACGCCGGCCUCAUCGUGAGGAGGGGCCGGGCAGGGGCUGGGAGGGACAGGCAGAGCACUUGGGUGAGGACCAAAGGCUGUGAUGGCCGUCUCGGCAGUGAGAGGCCUCCCAGCUCCGUCCCUCCUUUGAGCAGAUCCCCCCAGCCCCUCCGAGGCCAGACUUUGAGGCUUCGAGGGAAAAGCUACAGAAAUUGGGCGAGGGGGACAGCUCUGUCACUCGGGAAGAGUUUGCCAAGAUGAAGCAGGAGCUGGAAGCGGAGUACCUGGCCAUCUUUAAGAAGACAGUUGCGAUGCACGAAGUCUUUCUGCAGCGCCUGGCGGCCCACCCCACCCUGUGUCGAGACCACAACUUCUUUGUGUUUUUGGAAUAUGGACAGGAUCUGAGUGUCCGGGGGAAGAACAGGAAGGAGAUCCUCGGAGGGUUUCUGCGGAAUAUCGUGAAGUCCGCGGAUGAAGCCCUCAUCACGGGCAUGUCAGGGCUCAAGGAGGUGGAUGACUUCUUUGAGCAUGAGAGGACCUUCCUGUUGGAGUAUCACACCCGUAUCCGAGAUGCCUGCCUGCGGGCCGACCGCGUCAUGCGCGCCCACAAGUGCCUGGCAGACGAUUAUAUCC